rnacentral:lncRNA from 1 species
GGAAAAUCUGAGUACUCUUCAAGCUCUACUCUCCCAGGAAAUGCCCAGAAUGUUAAGCUGGACGUAUGGAACUGGACGGCAUCUUGGCCUGUGAAUUGGACUAAUUUUUCGAGGAAGAAAGCAAAGUCCAGAGAGCUUAUGACACCCAAGCUUUAUUGACAGAAAUUGUGCACGUUUAGAGCUUAAAGUUGGCCACACAUCAACAGCUGUCCACUGGCAUCUACAAGGGACUGGUUCAUCAUCCUGCAUCCCAUCCAGCAUCAGGACAACGAAUUCCACAGAUACCCAACA